CCGCCCACUACAUUAGGUACACCACACACACGCACACAACCUUCACUUGCUAUUGACAAGAUACAUGAACCCAAAUUUGCGACGUACCUGCGUGAUGACGUCAGCGUCCACGUAAGUUGAGUCUUCCCGUUGAUUAGCGUGACAGGGAAUGCGUGUGACGUCGCCAUUUUAGCGAACUAAAGCUAAAAGUGAAGUUACACCACUUUCUGACACAAAAUGUUGUUGUUUUUUAACCAGUAACAUAAAACUUACAGCACGUUAGCAGAAUGUGAGGUGAACCAUUCAAAGAAAAAUAAAGGCAAAAAAUCCCACAAGAUGGUAGGGCUUGGCAAAGGAACUGAUGAGAAAAAGUCUGUCUGGCGCACGGACCGAACGAUGUGGACUUCAACGUCCAAACGGAUGGCUCGCAUCACUUCGCCGCGAAGACGCUGAGCCAAAACGAGCAAGUGAGGAGGAGGAGAAGAAGAGGAGGAGGUGGAGCCUACUGAUGCUGCAAUUAAGAAAUUCGUUGUCUGCCGGCCAGCUAACGAGAAUGAAUAUUUCAGUCCGGAGCUCACGGUGGGGGGCAGGCACACCUACACACACGUACACACACUGACGGAUCUUAGUAAAGGCUUGCAGAAUCAUUCAAGAUGCCACAAUUUGAAAAAUACAAAAAAAGAAAAACAAUAAAAUUACAUCAGCUACCCUGUGCAAACAACGAUGCACUCUAGAAUAUUGUACUUUAUAGAAACAUGGUCACAACAAUUAAAUAGAAUGUAAUGAAAUAAAGAAUUAGAAUUAUUAUUUUUCAUUUUAUUAUUUUUUUCAUAAUCGCCCAGCCCUAGUAUGUCACCCAGACGUAGAAGAAGAAUAUACUUCUUCUUCUAUUACGACUCAGUAAAAUGCUGUCAUUAGUCAUUUUUCGUAGAGAAUAAACAUAUGCCUGUGAGUAGUUAUAUUAUCUGUCUACAUGUGUUGCUCCACUGUUUGUAUUCAAAUCACCAUAGUUUCUAAAACUGUGACUAUCGAUGCUAAUCGUUAGCAUGUCAAUGGUGUUUUGCACUGUUUGUUAGCUUUAGGCUAGGCAGACUUUCCUAACGCUGAGCCAUGUGGUUGUUUUAAUACACAUGUAAUGCUCUUUGUUUUAUGUUUAUUUUGACGGUAAAAUUCCGCUAUCGAGAAUAUAUCCUGUGAGUAUUGUUAUAUUAUCUGGCUACAUAUUUUUGAGUGACAUUGUCUGUACAGUUAAUAAAGGUUUUAUGACGUUA